rnacentral:rRNA from 1 species
CGCCUCCCAAAAGGUAACGGAGGCGCUCAAAGGUUCUCUCAGUACGGUCGGAAAUCGUACGUAGAGUGUAAAGGCAAAAGAGAGCUUGAUUGCAAGACAUACAGGUCGAGCAAGGAUGAAAAUCGGACUUAGUGAUCCGGUGGUUCUGCGUGGAAGGGCCAUCGCUCAACGGAUAAAAGCUACCCUGGGGAUAACAGGCUUAUCUCCCCCAAGAGUCCACAUCGACGGGGAGGUUUGGCACCUCGAUGUCGGCUCAUCACAUCCUGGGGCUGUAGUAGGUCCCAAGGGUUGGGCUGUUCGCCCAUUAAAGUGGUACGCGAGCUGGGUUCAGAACGUCGUGAGACAGUUCGGUCCCUAUCCGUCGCAGGCGUAGGAAAUUUGAGAAGACCUGUCCUUAGUAC